GGGGGCAGCACUUAAGUACUUGCCAGCGAUUGUCAAUGAUGUGAAAUUAGUGUUUGAUCCAAAAGAACUUAGCAAGCUGUUCACGGAGUUCAUCCUGAACGUGCCGGUGAGCCGGCUCACGGUGCAGAAGCUGCACUGCCUCAU